rnacentral:rRNA from 1 species
GACGAACGCUGGCGGCGUGCUUAACACAUGCAAGUCGAACGGAAAGGCCCUGCUUUUGUGGGGUGCUCGAGUGGCGAACGGGUGAGUAACACGUGAGUAACCUGCCCUUGACUUUGGGAUAACUUCAGGAAACUGGGGCUAAUACCGGAUAGGAGCUCCUGCUGCAUGGUGGGGGGUGGAAAGUUUCGGCGGUUGGGGAUGGACUCGCGGGUUAUCAGCUUGUUGGUGGGGUAGUGGCUUACCAAGGCUUUGACGGGUAGCCGGCCUGAGAGGGUGACCGGCCACAUUGGGACUGAGAUACGGCCCAGACUCCUACGGGAGGCAGCAGUGGGGAAUUUUGCACAAUGGGCGGAAGCCUGAUGCAGCAACGCCGCGUGCGGGAUGACGGCCUUCGGGUUGUAAACCGCUUUCGCCUGUGACGAAGCGUGAGUGACGGUAAUGGGUAAAGAAGCACCGGCUAACUACGUG